CCCGAGCCCGCCCCCCGCGGCGGGUGGUGCCGAACGGUGUGGGCCGGGCCGGGCCGAGAAAGGACAGGACAGGACAAGACAGGGUGACGGUGUGUCUGGCUGUCUGUUCGUGGAAGAGUGGGUUCAUGGCGUUCUCCCGGUGGUUGCGGGUGCCUGAGGAAGUGGACAGCGUAUCUGAGUGACCCCUCGGCGCUGCUGCGGGCUUGGGGCUCCUCUGAGGCAGUGCGGUGACAGGGACAAGAUGAUUGAAACACUUGUAACAACUGAUGCUCAGGAACUGCUGUACCAGCUCACGGCCCUAUUGGAGCAGGAGUUAAGAUGUCAGCCAAAGGCAACUGGCCUGAGACUGAUUGAAUCCGCUCAUGAUAAUGGUCUUCGAAUGACUGCCAGGCUGCGAGACUUCGAAGUGAAAGAUCUUCUCAGCUUAACUCAAUUCUUUGGCUUCCAUACAGAAACAUUUUCACUAGCUGUGAAUUUCUUAGAUAGAUUCUUGUCAAAAAUGAAGGUACAGCCUAAACACUUGGGCUGUGUUGGACUCAGCUGUUUCUACUUGGCUGUGAAAGCAUCAGAAGAAGAGAGAAAUAUUCCCUUAGCUACUGACUUAAUUAGAAUAAGCCAGUAUAGGUUCACUGUUUCUGAUAUGAUGAGAAUGGAGAAGAUCAUAUUGGAGAAGCUGUCUUGGAAAGUCAAAGCUACCACAGCCUUCCAAUUUCUACAAUUAUAUCAUUCACUCAUUCAUGAGAAUCUAAGCUGUGAAAGGAGGAAAUACCUUAAUUUUGAGAGACUUGAGACUCAGCUUAAAGUAUGUCACUGCAGAAUCAUGUUUUCUAAAGCCAAGCCUUCUGUCUUGGCACUGUCCAUUGUGGCACUAGAGACAGAGGAACAAAAACUACCGGAGCUGAGAGAGGCAUUGGAAUUUCUGCAGUUGCAUUCCAAGAUAAACAACAGAGAUUUGACCUUCUGGAAGGAAUUGGUGUUCAAGUGCCUUACAGAAUAUUCCUCGAGCAAGUGUUCCAAACCAAAUGUCCAGAAAUUAAAAUGGAUUGUGUCUGGACGUACAGCACGGCAGCUGAAACAUAGCUACUACAGGAUAACACACCUUCCUACAAUUCCAGAGACCAGCUCAUAAUAGGUAACCUCCUGAAGAGAUGUAACAUAAACAUAAUAGGCCUAUCCUAGAGGCUGGUCUGUUCUCACGUUCAUGCUUGAGCCAGUGCUGUACCUAAAGAAGUGGCAACCUAAUGUGAGAAUGUUGGAGAAAGAACUCUGGUGUGCUGUGUGAGCAAAAAUGUGUUCUACAGACAUUGGGACCUCAUUCAGACUAAAAUGUGGAGUAAAACUGGAAUAUGGUAACCAUCCUGUGACCUUGGCAACAGCCACACGAAUAUUGGAGAAAGUCUGCAAAGUCAUCUUAAUGAAGAAUUCAACUCAUGGAAAGAAUAUGUUAACACUUAGGACUGAAGAUUCUUCCAGCAUAUACGUUCUUUUCAUGGUGAUUACAACAAUACUCUGUGUCAGUUUUCAGUCUUAGUUGUUGGACUGCUUACUGUUCAGUGAAAUACCACAAUACUGAUAAAAGGAAUUUUAACACCUUUAGUGUAUAGAGCAGCUUGUGUAGUCUCACCUUGGUCUACUGUAACUGCAGGUGCUGAUUAGGUAUUUAAUUUUAAAAACCUGAUUCAUUAUUGGAAGAUGAGAUGAUACUAGGAAAACAUCACGUGCAGUAGCACAGUGCUGCAGUGUCUCAAACUAAAGGCUAAUCCUACUCAGUGUUGCUGACAAUAGCAAAUGCCUGUCUGUCCACCUGACACGCUGUAUGGGUAGUGCCAUGUUGUUCACAUGCUCCUGCUGGGCAGGGCACUGGCUUUCUACCAUAGACCCAUUAAAAACUAGGCUGCGUGAUACCCAUUGAACGUGUCAAGUAGCUAGAGCAGGAGAAAAGAGAAACCUUACUUCAUUGCCUUCUAAAAGGUACUAACACAGCAUCAGUAACUCCAGUAUUUUGUAACAAGUGUAUUUUACUGAGAUUACAAAUUAUUUCAUGAUACCUAAUGAAGGCUGAGGGAAAGUACUGGGUCACCUGCCCCAAGUCUGCCAUCAGAUUUCCGGAAUUUAAAUAUAAAAGAAGUAAAUGCUGAUGCUGAACAGGUGCAUUUUCACAGGCACAAGAGGAGCAAAGCUAAUGCUCCAUUGUGAUCUGUAUUAAGAGCAAUCUAGGUGAGAAAGACUGAAGGCUGUUUUAACUCUGAUCUCUGUAAGGGUAAGCCUUGUGAAAUACAAUGGGGUUUUUUUGAAGACUAGAUCAGUACUUAAGACAUAUGCUUCUGGUGCUAACAAGGAAGUGAAUAAUAAGAAUGUAUUACUGUAUGUCAGAUGAAUAGAGGUGUGGGGGGGAAUGUUGCUAAUGACCUCAUGAAUUCUGCAUCACUGUGGAGCAGAGAUUGUUAGCAAUAGGCUGUUUCGAAGGGAUUGCAAUUGAACCAGUGCAGUGGAGAAGGAGAGAUCAGAAUGUUCUGAAUAUAGUGUGGGCUGAGAUGUAACCAACCCUUCCCUCUUCAUGGCAAUAGCUAAGGGGGAAAGUAUUCUUUGAGUAUCUCAAACUAGUGCAACCUUUCACUGAAGACUUCUUACCAAAGCUCAGUACUGGACAAAUCAAGCCUUCUCAUGAACUCCUGGGAGUGACUGCACCCCAUGAUGUGUAAUUGGCUUGUGAGUGAUGGCGCAGUUUGUGUGUGGUGCUGGCCUGUGCAAAGCAGAUGAGUGAUCUGGGCAAAGGUGUGGUCAGCCCGCUGGGAGAGAUGGAGAAGAUGCAGUGUGCAAUUCUAUUUGUCAUGUCUCAAUAUUUCAGAUCUGUACCUUUCAAUUAAACAUUGAAAUGUGCUUAACUCA